AAUAAAUUUUUUAUGGUUUAAAAAAUUUAUAAUAAAUUUGUUUUACAUAUAAAUUUUAGUGUUAAUUUUUGAUUAUUUUAAUAAUAAUUAAUUAAGGUUAAAUAGUAAUUAAUAUUAAAAAUUUAAGAAAUUAAGAUUUAGCGUUGUAUAAGUUAUUAACUAAUUUUGUGCCAGCAGUUGCGGUUAUACAAAAAAUAAAUUAAAUUUUUUUAGUUAUUAAUAAAUAAUUGAUUAAAUAAUUUAAAUUUUAAAUUAUUAAGUGAAAUUUUAAUUUAAUAAAAAUUUAUUAAAAAUUUAUGUUAUUAAUAAAUUUUAUAAAAAACUAGGAUUAGAUACCCUAUUAUUAAAAAUUUAAAUUAAGAAUACUAAAAUAGUAAAUAAUUAUUUAUUGAAACUUAAAUAAUUUGGCGGUAUUUUAGUUCUUUUAGAGGAAUCUGUUUAUUAAUUGAUAAUCCACGAGUUAAUUUACUUAAUUUAAAAGUUUAUAUAUCGUUGUUAAAAAAAUAUUUUUUAAUAAAAAUAAUAUUUUAAAAUUUAAAUAGAAAAUUAAAUCAGAUCAAGAUGUAGUUUAUAUUUAAGAAUAUAAUGGAUUACAAUAAGUUUAUUUAUACGGAAUUUAAUUAGUAGUGAUUAAAUGAAGGUGGAUUUAAAUGUAAUUUUUUUUUAAUUAAUAAAAUGAUUUUAAAUUAAAAUGUGUACAUAUUGCCCGUCGCUUUCAUUUAUAAAUUGGAAUAAGUCGUAACAAAGUAGAGGUACUGGAAAGUGUUUCUAGAAAGAU
rnacentral:ncRNA from 1 species